CUUCCUCACAGCUGUGGUUUUUCAAGUAAGAACUAGCUUCCUGAUUUCACCUUCUUCCCUCUUGUGAUCUGAUUCUCUUUGUGAGUAAGGGCUUCAUCGCUCUUCAUUCUUAUAUGACUGCAAGAUUUUUCACUGUAGUACAAAGUAAAGAAGAACAACUGCGUGUCCAGUUCCCAUGGAGUGUCAGAGCUUCUUCCUCAAAGAGAUUCCAGGAAAAAAGCCCUUUGUGUGCCUCUGUAUUUUUUCAUCUUCCAAUCAGAAUAACUCUGCAGAAGUCAGCAUACUGGCUAGUAUUGGCUAAUCACUGAAGCCCAAGAUGAAACUUAUCACUGUUUGAUUGUAGCAAGGGAGUCCUUCUGAUAUCUUGGUGGCAGCCAAGACUGGGCUUAACUUUGUUCACACCUGUGGUGCAAUUGCAUUAUAAAACUACUUUCAUGACAUGGAAGACACUUUGUAUUAAUUAUUCCUUAUUUGUUUAUUUUAAAUGCCAACUUGCAUUUUACUUUUAUUUUAUUAAUGAAAUUAAAUAUUUUAAAAUAUUAAAAUAUAGGUUAUUCACUAA